rnacentral:lncRNA from 1 species
CCCUUGUGACUGGGCCUCAUGCCAAACAAGUCAUUACAGAAAGAGCUAGGGUCCCAGACUGCCCUGAAGCUUCAUGAGACCUCUCCUCGUGUGUGCACAGAUGAGUGGCCAACUCUGGAGCCAAGGCUGUUGCUUCCCAAUCUGGUGGUGAAUCCUCCAUACACUGGUGAGUUCGGUAUCUGACCCUGGAGCCUGGGCUGUUGCUUCACAGUCUGGUGGUAAAUCCUCCAUAGUCUGGUGAAUGCGGUGUUUGACUUUGGAACCCAGGCUGUUGCUUCCCAGUCUGGUGGUGAAUCCUCCAUAGUCUGGUGAGUGUAAAUAUACAUAUAUAUAUAUAUAUCUUUUCCCUUCUCCCCUUCCCAUUACAAUUUGUUAUUAUAUCAUGCGCUUAUUAUAUCGAUUUGCUUAUUUAUAUUAAUUUUCUUAUUAUAUCCUUUGCUUAUUAGAUUUUCAUUGCCAUUUACGUGGCAUAAAGUGUGUUUACCCUUAAAGA